GAUGAACGCUAGCGACAGGCUUAACACAUGCAAGUCGAGGGGCAGCAUAAAAGUAGCAAUACUUUGGUGGCGACCGGCGCACGGGUGAGUAACGCGUAUGCAACCUACCUAUCAGAGGGGGAUAACCCGGCGAAAGUCGGACUAAUACCGCAUAAAACAGGGGCACCGCAUGGUGCUAUUUGUUAAAAAUUUAUUGCUGAUAGAUGGGCAUGCGUUCCAUUAGGUAGUUGGAGAGGUAACGGCUCACCAAGCCAACGAUGGAUAGGGGAACUGAGAGGUUGGUCCCCCACACUGGUACUGAGACACGGACCAGACUCCUACGGGAGGCAGCAGUGAGGAAUAUUGGUCAAUGGGCAGAGCCUGAACCAGCCAAGUCGCGUGAAGGAAGAAGGAUCUAUGGUUCGUAAACUUCUUUUGCAGGGGAAUAAAGUGCAGGACGUGUCCUGUUUUGUAUGUACCCUGAGAAUAAGGAUCGGCUAACUCCGUGCCAGCAGCCGCGGUU
rnacentral:rRNA from 1 species